rnacentral:rRNA from 1 species
AUUGAACGCUGGCGGCAGGCUUAACACAUGCAAGUCGAGCGGAGAUGAGGUGCUUGCACCUUAUCUUAGCGGCGGACGGGUGAGUAACGCUUAGGAAUCUGCCUAUUAGUGGGGGACAACAUUCCGAAAGGAAUGCUAAUACCGCAUACGUCCUACGGGAGAAAGCAGGGGAGCUUCGGACCUUGCUCUCAUAGAUGAGCCUAAGUCGGAUUAGCUAGUUGGUGGGGUAAAGGCCUACCAAGGCGACGAUCUGUAGCGGGUCUGAGAGGAUGAUCCGCCACACUGGGACUGAGACACGGCCCAGACUCCUACGGGAGGCAGCAGUGGGGAAUAUUGGACAAUGGGGGAAACCCUGAUCCAGCCAUGCCGCGUGUGUGAAGAAGGCCUUAUGGUUGUAAAGCACUUUAAGCGAGGAGGAGGCUACUGAGACUAAUACUCUUGGAUAGUGGACGUUACUCGCAGAAUAAGCACCGGCUAACUCUGUGCCAGCCGCCGCCGUAAGAC